rnacentral:rRNA from 1 species
GUAGUUGAUCCUGGCUCAGAGUGAACGCUGGCGGCGUGCCUAAUACAUGCAAGUCGAACGCGAAAGUCCUUCGGGAUGAGUAAAGUGGCGCACGGGUGAGUAAUGGUUGAGAACAUGCCCUGAGGUGGGGAAUAACAGUUGGAAACGACUGCUAAUACCGCAUGGCCUCGGAAGAGUAAAGGUGGGGAUCGCAAGACCUACCGCCACAGGAUUGGCUCAACUCCCAUUAGCUAGUUGGUAGGGUAAUGGCCUACCAAGGCAACGAUGGGUAUCUGGUCUUAGAGGAUGAUCAGACACACUGGAACUGAGACACGGUCCAGACUCCUACGGGAGGCAGCAGUAGGGAAUAUUGCACAAUGGGGGAAACCCUGAUGCAGCAACGCCGCGUGAGUGAAGAAGGCCCUUGGGUUGUAAAGCUCUUUAGACUGGAAAGAAGCCCGUUAGAGUUAAUAUCUCUAGCGGGUGACGGUACCAGUAAAAUAAGGACCGGCUAAUUUCGUG